CGAUGGUGAACUCGCCCCCUAAUUCUAGUGUGAGGUAUAGUGAUAUACAAUGUGAGGCAAGCUUUGUACUGAUGGUGAACUCGCCCCCUAAUUCUAGUGUGAGGUAUAGUGAUAUACAAUGUGAGGUGAGCUUUGUACCGAUGGUGAACUCGCCCCCUAAUUCUAG